GGCGGGGUAGCUCAGGGGUCAGAGCGAGGGUCUCAUAAUCCCUAGGCCGUGGGUUCGAUUCCCACCCCCGCUACCA
rnacentral:tRNA from 1 species